GUCUUUUUGAGUUAUUUUUAAAGUCUGACCUGCCCACUGAAAUUAUUUAAAUGGCCGCAGUAUUUUAACUGUGCAAAGGUAGCAUAAUCAUUAGUCUUUUAAUUGAAGGCUGGUAUGAACGGUUGGACGAGGUAUAAGCUGUUUCAUAUAAAUUUAUAAUAGAAUUUUAUAUUUUAGUCAAAAAGCUAAAAUAUAUUUAAAAGACGAGAAGACCCUAUAAAUCUUUAUAUUUUGUGUUGUUUAAAUUUUUUGGGAUUGGUUUAUUUUUAUAAUAUAAAAUAUUUUGUUGGGGUGAUAUUAAAAUUUAAUUAACUUUUAAUUAUUUAAAAUCAUUAAUUUAUGAGUUAUUGAUCCAUUAAUAGUGAUUAUAAGAUUAAGUUACUUUAGGGAUAACAGCGUAAUUUUUUUGGAGAGUUCAUAUCGAUAAAAAAGUUUGCGACCUCGAUGUUGGAUUAAGAUAUAAUUUUAGGUGUAGUCGCUUAAAUGUUAAGUCUGUUCGACUUUUAAAUUCUU
rnacentral:rRNA from 1 species